AUUGAACGCUGGCGGCAGGCCUAACACAUGCAAGUCGAACGAGUGGCGGAAGGGUGAGUAAUGUCUGGGAAACUGCCUGAUGGAGGGGGAUAACUACUGGAAACGGUAGCUAAUACCGCAUACCAUCAGAUGUGCCCAGAUGGGAUUAGCUUGUGGGUGGGGUAAAGGCGCACCAAGGCGACGAUCCGUAGCUGGUCUGAGAGGAUGACCAGCCACACUGGAACUGAGACACGGUCCAGACUCCUACGGGAGGCAGCAGUGGGGAAUAUUGCACAAUGGGCGCAAGCCUGAUGCAGCCAUGCCGCGUGUGUGAAGAAGGUCUUCGGGUUGUAAAGUACUUUCAGCUGGGAGGCGUUACCCGCAGAAUAAGCACCGGCUAACUCCGUGCCAGCAGCCGCGGUAAUUC
rnacentral:rRNA from 1 species